rnacentral:rRNA from 1 species
GUAGUCUGCAACUCGACUACAUGAAGCUGGAAUCGCUAGUAAUCGCGGAUCAGAAUGCCGCGGUGAAUACGUUCCCGGGUCUUGUACACACCGCCCGUCACACCAUGGGAGCCGGAAAUGCCCGAAGUCUGUGACUCAACCGAGAGGGGAGAGCAGCCGAAGGUGGAGCUGGUAACUGGGGUGAAGUCGUAACAAGGUACC